rnacentral:lncRNA from 1 species
UAUAGUAGUAUAGGGGAGAGUAUAUGGGAGUGGUGGGGUAUGGGAAGUUAGAUUACUUAGGUUAUUUUCACUUUACUUUUAGUUUUAUUUUAGUUUUAAGAGAAUAAUAAUUAAUUAUAUAAAAAAGCUAAUUAGAAAAAUUCAAAUAGCUAUUAAAUAAAUAAAAAUUAAAUAAAUACUAGCUUAUUUAUAAAAACUUAAUUUUAAAAUAAUAUAGAUUUUUUUAUAAUCUUUCAUUCCUUUUUAAACAAUUGAAAAUAAAACUUACCUUAAAAAGUGAUUCUAUUUUUGUUGUUUUCAAAUCUUUUAAAAAUAAACUUAAUAAAAUAAGAU